UGGUACAGCAGUUCUCUCACUGUCUUUUGUAAGCUCAGCAAAGAUGUAGGCGACUAUCGAAGAGUUUUAAUAGCCACUGCAGAAUCUUCCAUUGUCCAAACAAGGCUUUAAAAUAGUAUGGUUUGAUAAAGAUAAGGAAUAAACAUUAACAGGUUAUUUAUGAUAAACUUAAAGCUUGACCAUUUCAUGAAAAUACUUCUCAAUAUUUGUGUUGAUUUACAUGUUUGCCAACAUUCAUUUAUUCAGACACAAAUCAAUAAACGUAUGAGUUAACAUUGGAAAAGUCUUGGGUCAAUACAAUGACCCGAUGUAGGUAUUUACGCACUCUUUUAGAUUACUCUGCCACAAAGAUAUCCAACAAUAAUCAGGCUAGCUAUGAUUAGAAAAAGGUUCGGGUCUGGCAUGCAGGUUAAUAGGUUUAUGGUGGGGUAUUCUAAAACUAUUCCAUGACAAUUUACC